AAAGAGUCUAACAUAUCUGCGAGUAUUUGGGUGUCAAACCCGAGCGCGCAGUGAAAGUGAACGUAGGAGCCACGCGCAAGCUGCAGCUUCGACCGAUCUGGAUCUUUAGUGAUGGAUUUGAGUAAGAGCAUAUAUGUUGGGACCCGAAAGAUGGUGAACUAUGCCUGAAUAGGGCGAAGCCAGAGGAAACUCUGGUGGAGGCACGUAGCGAUUCCGACGUGCAAAUCGAUCGUCAAAUUUGGGUAUAGGGGCGAAAGACUAAUCGAACCAUCUAGUAGCUGGUUCCUGC
rnacentral:misc_RNA from 1 species